UACAGAGGUCCCCGAGCGUUGUUCGGAUUCACUGGGCGUAAAGGGUGCGUAGGUGGCAUGUUAAGUUUGAUGUGAAAGCUCAGGGCUCAACCCUGAAAUGGCAUUGAAUACUAGCGUGCUGGAGGUUUGGAGGGGGGACUGGAAUUCUCGGUGUAGCAGUGAAAUGCGUAGAUAUCGAGAGGAACACCAGUGGCGAAGGCGAGUCCCUGGACAACACCUGACACUGAGGCACGAAAGCCGGGGGAGCAAACAGGAUUAGAUACCCUGGUAGU
rnacentral:rRNA from 1 species